UACGUAGGGGGCAAGCGUUGUCCGGAUUCAUUGGGCGUAAAGAGCGUGUAGGCGGUUCAGUAAGUCUGUUGUGAAAGUCCAGGGCUCAACCCUGGGAUGCCGGUGGAUACUGCUGGGCUAGAGUACGGAAGAGGCGAGUGGAAUUCCUGGUGUAGCGGUGAAAUGCGCAGAUAUCAGGAGGAACACCAAUGGCGAAGGCAGCUCACUGGGACGGUAUUGACGCUGAGACGCGAAAGCGUGGGGAGCAAACAGG
rnacentral:rRNA from 1 species